rnacentral:sRNA from 1 species
CGGUUUCAAUCUGUUGCGGACAAAUAAAGUGAAUGUGCGCGUCAAUUCCCCCAGCGGUGAGGAUCAUUCCUUCUGAGGCGAUCGCUUCUGUACCAGGACCAAUAAUGAUAUCUACGUUGUCUUGAAUGUAAGGAUUUCCCGCUUUGCCAAUUUUGAAAAUCUUGCCGUCUUUAAUGCCAAUAUCUGCUUUAACGAUUCCCCACCAAUCGAGAAUUAACGCAUUUGUAAUCACAACAUCGACCGCACCAUCCGCAUUCGCUAUUGGCGAUUGUCCCAUACCAUCG